UGGGAUCUAGUUUUCACAUGAACUCCACAUC
rnacentral:piRNA from 1 species